rnacentral:tRNA from 1 species
GGCCGGGUAGUUCAGUUGGUUAGAAUGCCAGCCUGUCACGCUGGAGGUCGGCGGUUCGAGCCCGUUCCCGGUCGCCA